CCUACGGGAGGCAGCAGUGGGGAAUAUUGCACAAUGGGGGAAACCCUGAUGCAGCGACGCCGCGUGAGUGAAGAAGUAAUUCGUUAUGUAACGCUCUAUCAGCAGGGAAGAAAAUGACGGUACCUGAGUAAGAAGCCCCGGCUAACGACGUGCCAGCAGCAGCGGUAAUACGUAGGGGGCAAGCGUUAUCCGGCUUUACUGGGUGUAAAGGGAGCGGAGACGGCAGUGCAAGUCUGGAGUGAAAGGCGGGGGCUCAACCCCCGGACUGCUCUGGAAACUGUACGGCUGGAGUGCUGGAGAGGGAAGUAGAAUUCCUAGUGUAGCGGUGAAAUGCGUAGAUAUUAGGAGGAACACCAGUGGCGAAGGCGGCUCACUGGACAGUAACUGACGUUGAGGCUCGAAAGCGUGGGGAGCAAACAGGAUUAGAUACCCCUGUAGUC
rnacentral:rRNA from 1 species